UACGGGGGGAGCAAGCGUUGUUCGGAUUUACUGGGCGUAAAGGGCGCGUAGGCGGCCACGACAAGUCACUUGUGAAAUCUCCGGGCUUAACUCGGAACGGUCAAGUGAUACUGUCGGGCUAGAGUGCAGAAGGGGCAACUGGAAUUCCUGGUGUAGCGGUGAAAUGCGCAGAUAUCAGGAAGAACACCCGUGGCGAAAGCGGCUCUCUGGAACGGUACUGACGCUGAGACGCGAAAGCGUGGGGAGCGAACAGG
rnacentral:rRNA from 1 species